rnacentral:rRNA from 1 species
CAACAGCGUAUAUUAAAGUUGUUGCAGUUAAAAAGCUCGUAGUUGGAUUUGUGGCGUACGGUGUGUUCCGGGCACUUGUUGUCUGAGUAACCUGCUGUUGCCAUCCUUGGGUGGAACCUGUGUGGCAUUAGGUUGUCGUGCAGGGGAUGCCCAUCAUUUACUGUGAAAAAAUUAGAGUGUUCAAAGCAGGCUUAUGCCGUUGAAUAUAUUAGCAUGGAAUAAUGAGAUAGGACUUUUUUGCUAUUUUGUUGGUUUGCGCAAGAAGGUAAUGAUUAAUAGGGACAGUUGGGGGUAUUCGUAUUCCAUUGUCAGAGGUGAAAUUCUUGGAUUUUUGGAAGACGAACUACUGCGAAAGCAUUUACCAAGGAUGUUUUCAUUAA